rnacentral:rRNA from 1 species
AAGUCGUAACAAGGUUUCCUUCCCCCUACAGAAGCCUUGUAUGCCAGUCCGCUCCCCGCGGGCGACACUUGUCUGUUGCUGGAAAUCGUUCCCCCGGGAAGAAACCAGCAGUUAUUGGCGGAUGCCGGUAAUUCACAGGUCAAAUCAAGUGGUCCGGCGGGGCGAGAGCUUUUUCGCCCCCGGAUUAAGAUAUGAUCGCACUGCACGGCUGACGCCUUGCAAUCCUGGUUCCGUAGGUGAACCUGCGGAAGGAUCAUUAACGAGUUAGGGGCCUCGCCCCGAACCUCCAACCCAAUGCGAACCUUACCACCGUUGCUUUGGCGGGCCCGCGGGUCCAACCGCCGCCGGCAAGGCCGGCGAGCGCCCGCCAGAGUCCAUCCAAAUUCGUUUGAUCGGUGACGUCUGAGAAAAUAUUUAAUGGCAAAAAACUUUCAACAACGGAUCUCUUGGUUCUGGCAUCGAUGAAGAACGCAGCGAAAUGCGAUAAGUAAUGUGAAUUGCAGAAUUCAGUGAAUCAUCGAAUCUUUGAACGCACAUUGCGCCCUCUGGUAUUCUGGGGGGCAUGCCUGUCCGAGCGUCAUUACAACCCUCAAGCCUGGCUUGGUAUUGGGCGCCGUCCCCCGGGACGCGCCUGGAAAGCAGCGGCGGUGCGGCCGGUGAUCGAGCGUAGUAACGACUCCCGCUUCGAGCCACCCGGGCGUUCCAGCCGGACAACAUCUAUUUUCAAUGGUUGACCUCGGAUCAGGUAGGGAUACCCGCUGAACUUAA